GUUCCUGCUGUUGGCUCAUUUCAGGCGUGGCUGCUGGAUAAUGUGUGGGUCAAUAGGUGGCAGAGAGGAGUGAGGCUAUGUCUGUGAACAGUGUCCUGGUCUGUGAACAUCUGAUUCAGUGAUUACUAACAAU